AUUGAACGCUGGCGGCAGGCCUAACACAUGCAAGUCGAGCGAGAAAGGUCUUCGGACUGAGUACAGCGGCGGACGGGUGAGUAAUGCGCAGGAAUCUACCUGGUAGUGGGGGGAUAACUCGGGGAAACUCGAACUAAUACCGCAUACGCCCUACGGGGAAAGCGGGGACCGUUCGGGCCGUCGCGCUAUCAGAUGAGCCUGCGUAGGAUUAGCUUGUUGGUGAGGUAAAGGCUCACCAAGGCGACGAUCCUUAGCUGGUCUGAGAGGAUGAUCAGCCACACUGGAACUGAGACACGGUCCAGACUCCUACGGGAGGCAGCAGUAAGGAAUAUUGGACAAUGGCCGCAAGGCUGAUCCAGCCAUGCCGCGUGCAGGAAGACGGACCUAUGGUUUGUAAACUGCUUUUGAACGGGAGAAAACCCCCCUACGUGUAGGGGCUGAUAGUACUGUUAGAAUAAGCAUCGGCUAACUUCGUGCCAGCAGCCGCGGUAAAGUG
rnacentral:rRNA from 1 species